rnacentral:lncRNA from 1 species
CCAAAUAAAUUUUCUAUUCGUAAAAUUGCAAAGAUAACUGGAGGCUGCUGUGUUGCUAAGUUAGGAGAAGCAUCUGUUAUGGCUACUGCUGUUUGUGACCCCAAAAAAUCUUCAGUGUCUUCUUUUGUUCCGCUUACAGUGAGUAUUUCUUACUGGAAUAAGACUGUAUUGUCUGUACUAGACACAGAAUGGUAGAUUUUCGUCAAAAAGCGACUGCAGCUGGUCAUAUACCAAUACCAAUGACUCAGAAGCGAAGAGAAUUUGGUGAAACUGACAAAGAAAUGCUAACUAGUAGAGUUAUUGACAGAUCUAUCCGGCCACUUUUCCCUUGAAGCGCAACAUUUGCAGCCUUAAGUCUUUCUGAUAUUCCUUGGAAUGGUCCAGUUGGAGCUGUUCAUGUAGGACUCAUAAAUGAUGAAAUUAUAAUUAAUCCUACGAGGCAAGAUUUAGAUAAAACCUCUCUAAAUCUUAUAAUUACGGCAACUCAAGAAAAUAAUGUUGUUAUGCUGGAAGGAUCGGCUAACCAUGUUAUUAUGAAACAGUUUAUGGAAGCUAUUAAAGCUGGAGUCAGUGAAGCUCAGUUAAUAACAAAGGGUAUUCUUAACCUUCAACAACAAUUUGGUAAAUGUAAAAAGCCUGUUGGCAAGCUAUCACUGGCAUCAUCAGAUAUGAUAGAAUCUGCAACUUUACUCUGUGAAGUAAAAUUUUUAGGGAUUUUACUUUAGACAAAAUGAGGAGAGGAAUGGCUGUUGAUGCUGUGAUACAAGAAAUAUUAGAAAAAUUAAAAGGUGUGAUGGGAGAACAGCAACUGAUUUGCGACCCAUAUCGUGCGAAGUGGACACAUUUAAACCCUUACAUGGAAACGUUCUUUUUGAGAGGGGUCAAACACAAGUAAUCUCUUUAUGAAUGCUCUCUUUUUUUAAAAUCAGUGCAUCUUUUUACUGAAUAGGCAUGUUUUUACUGAAAUACAGAACUGCAUUUCAUUUGUUUGUCACCCUGAGUUCAUUCAAAUUUGCCUGUCACCAUGAAUAUAUUUAUGCGUCUUUAAAAUUAUAGCAGCCUGGUUUGAUACAGUUAUUUUUAAAUUAAAGCACUGCGAUUCAUAUUCACAUGAUUUAAAAAUCAAACAUUGCGAUUCCUAUUCAAAAGAGUUCAGAUGUUUCAUUUAAAAGUUUUUGAGAAUAGAAAUGGUUGUAAUAAAUGUAUUUAAAUUAAAUCUUUUGUUUGUUU